rnacentral:rRNA from 1 species
UACAGAGGGUGCGAGCGUUAAUCGGAAUUACUGGGCGUAAAGGGCGCGUAGGUGGUCAAUUAAGUUGGAUGUGAAAUCCCUGGGCUUAACCUAGGAACUGCAUACAAUACUGGUUGACUGGAGUGUGGUAGAGGGUAGUGGAAUUUCCGGUGUAGCGGUGAAAUGCGUAGAUAUCGGAAGGAACACCAGUGGCGAAGGCGGCUACCUGGACUAACACUGACACUGAGGCGCGAGAGCGUGGGGAGCAAACAGG